rnacentral:rRNA from 1 species
UACGCAGGGGGCUAGCGUUGCUCGGAAUCACUGGGCGUAAAGGGUGCGUAGGCGGCCAGCACACGUCGGUUGUGAAAUCUCCGGGCUUAACUCGGAAAGGUCAACCGAUACUGUGCGGCUAGAGUGCGGAAGGGGCAACUGGAAUUCUCGGUGUAGCGGUGAAAUGCGUAGAUAUCUGGAGGAACACCGGUGGCGAAGGCGGCAUCCUGGACCGGCAUUGACGCUGAGGCGCGAAAGCCAGGGGAGCAAACGGG